UUCAUCUUCUUCCGCCUCCAUAAACACUACAACUCUGUAAUACCCAUGAACCAAAAUUUUAAUUGAAAGGGCAGCUCCCUCAGAUCAAACCAAUUUCUCUUUUUCUCUGCAUAACCCCAUGAACAAAUUCAACCAAUCUGCACAACUCUACAAACAGAUUCAAACCAAAACCUUAUUGAUGAAGCAGCUACCCAAAAUCUUAUUAACUUCUCCCCCAAAUCCCAUCAAUUCAUCUUCCUCUCUGCAUAACCCCAUGAAAAGAUUUAAUUAAAACUCGAUCGAAGAAGCAUCUCCCCCAAAUCCAAUCAAUCUCUCUUAGAAAACCCUUUUAAUUGUUUCCACUACCAUAAUUACAUCUCCCCCAAUACGAUAUUUGUUUCUAAUACUAGCCUACUUCUAUCAAACCCAAACUCAAAAUAUUUAUCAUUCUUUCAAAACAUUUAAAGCAACACGUUCUUCUUCUCCAAUUUCGAUCAAUUACAAGUAAGAAGAGGAAAAAAAAAACCAAAUAUAAAAAGAGUAAUUCAAGGAGAUGGUGAUGAGAAGAUUACAAAAUAAAGAAUUGAAGUGUUGUUGUUGUGUAUUCGAUUCAUAUAGGUAUGAAUCUGAUAAGAAUUGAAUGAAGAAAAGAAAAGAGAUGUGGUUCUUAUUCAAGUAAUUCGGUACGGUGAUAAUGAGAUAUAAUGGGAGAAGAAUGAAGGGGUUGAGCUGUUGUUGAGAAAUUGAUAUAGGAAUUAAAGACUAGGGUUGAACUCAAAAAAAAUCGAAGUUAGGAUUUGAAGAAUUUGCUUCAGUGGACAUGAUGUUCUAUGUCGUACAGUGUAUAAGAGAUUGGAACUUGGAACUGAAGUACAUUUGUAUUUGGACCUUAGGGGCGGCAAGGAAUGGUAGAGGGGCGGCAAACCAAAUAAGACAAAAAGGGUCAUUAGGUGGUAAUUCAAGUGCUUCUUAUCAAAUAAAAUAUGGAAAUGACCAAUUAAUCCUUAUUGUUAAUAAUCAAGAUUAGUGAUUGAUAAUCAAGUUUAGUGUUUGAUAAUCAAGAUUAGUGUGAUAACUAAUUUUCAC